ACGGAAGGCAGCAGUGGGGAAUAUUGCACAAUGGGGGAAACCCUGAUGCAGCGACGCCGCGUGAGUGAAGAAGUAUUUCGGUAUGUAAAGCUCUAUCAGUAGGGAAGAAAAUGACGGUACCUAACUAAGAAGCCCCGGCUAACUACGUGCCAGCAGCCGCGGUAAUACGUAGGGGGCAAGCGUUAUCCGGAUUUACUGGGUGUAAAGGGAGCGUAGACGGCAAAGCAAGUCUGAUGUGAAAUGUUGGGGCUCAACCCCGAAACUGCAUUGGAAACUGUUUAGCUGGAGUGCAGGAGAGGUAAGUGGAAUUCCUAGUGUAGCGGUGAAAUGCGUAGAUAUUAGGAGGAACACCGGUGGCGAAGGCGGCUUACUGGGCUGUAACUGACGUUGAGGCUCGAAAGCGUGGGGAGCAAACAGGAUUAGAUACCCUGGUA
rnacentral:rRNA from 1 species